CGAGAGUCAUGGGGUCGUACGAAACCUAAAGGCGAAGUGAAAGUAAAGGCUUACAUUUCAGUAGGCUGAGGUAGGAUCCCGGUGUUUAUGUGCAUUUAGCACAAGACCUGGGCGCACUACCAGCUCGUCCAAUGCUUUAUUAAGCCGGGCGACGCAAGAGCGUACAUGCUGAGACCCGAAAGAUGGUGAACUAUGCUUGCGUAGGUUGAAGCCAGAGGAAACUCUGGUGGAGGACCGUAGCGAUUCUGACGUGCAAAUCGAUCGUCAAACGUGAGUAUUAGGGGCGAAAGACUAAUCGAACCAUCUAGUAGCUGGUUCCCUCCGAAGUUUCCCUCAGGAUAGCUGGCACUCGAGAAACAAACAGUUUUAUCCGGUAAAGCGAAUGAUUAGAAGUAUUGGGGAAAAACAUUCCUCAACUUAUUCUCAAACUUUAAAUGGGUGAGAAGCUUAACUCUCUUAAAUUGGAGUUGGGCAUUGAAUGUGAGUGCCAGUGGGCCAUUUUGGUAAGCAGAACUGGCGCUGUGGGAUGAACCACACGUCUGGUUAAGGAGCCUAACAUAACGCUCAUCAGAUACCACACAAGGUGUUGGUUGAUAUAGACAGCAGGACGGUGKCCAUGGAAGUUGGAAUCCGCUAAGGAGUGUGUAACAACUCACCUGCCGAAUCAACUAGCCCUGUAAAUGGAUGGCGCUGGAGCGUUGGUCCUAUACCAGACCGAUACUSCAAGUCGCAUGAUAUGGAAGCAGUAUCGAGUAGGAGGGCGCCGUGGUGAGCAUUGAAGCUACGGUCGUGAGACUGGGUGGAGCCGCCACGGGUGCAGAUCUUGGUGGUAGUA
rnacentral:rRNA from 1 species